UUGUGAGUGCAGUUUUAGCAUCGCGGGUAACGCUUAAAAACGAGUUCGGAUGUUAAAACAUGAGGAGAAAUAAACUUAUGUUUUUACACUGCGGAUUAAUUGUCGAAUGUAAAUUUAUGGAGAUAGGGACGGGAACUAAUGAAUGCGCUUUCGUCUUGUUUAGUGUUAUUGUGAUGGCGGAUGCUGAUGCUGAUGAGUCUCGCGCGUAGGCAGCUGUCACAGGAUGCUUCACCUAUUGAAGUGGAUCCAGUGGACCCCACUCAACUCCAGCCCAUCAUUAAUCAGCAAGGACAUGGAAUAGCUGCCUAUAUGCAACAACUGGAGGUUAACCAUGAGCGAUAACCAUAAACAAUUGCUCCAAACAUCUAACAAGCAGCUGCUUCAGGUUCUAGCUAACCCUCCUGCUACCAGUAGUUUCCCGAGUUCGUCGUCCACCGAAGGAUCUAGGUAUCGUCGGUUUGCAUCCUAUGACCUGGCAUGUGUGUGUUGGAGCUUCACUUGGCCUCAUCCACCCUCACUCACUUCAUUCACUUCUGCUUUUCAAUAACCUCUGUGAUUUUACUUUA